CCCCUGACAUCAAGGCCUUGGGCACCCGCAUGGUGUCCGUGGGAACUAAACUCUAUCUAUUCGGUGGUCGCGAUGAGAAGAAACAGUUCGACGAUUUUUACUCGUACGACACGGUGACAAAUGAGUGGAAGUUCCUGACGAAGCUGGAUGAAGAAGGAGGACCCGAGGCUCGUACUUACCACUCCAUGGCUUCGGAUGAGAACCAUGUGUAUGUAUUCGGUGGAGUGAGCAAAGGCGGGACCGACAAGACACCCUUUAGGUUCAGGACCAUCGAGGCCUAUAACAUUGCUGAUGGGAAAUGGGCUCAGCUUCCUGAUCCUGGUGAGCAGUUCCCUAGGUUCGAGAGAAGAGGAGGAGCUGGAUUCGUUGUGGUGCAAGGAAAGAUUUGGGUGGUUUACGGGUUUGCAACUUCUCCUGAUCCUAAUGGGAAAAAUGACUAUGAGUCCGACCAAGUGCAGUUUUAUGACCCGGCUACUCAGAAAUGGACCGAAGUGGAAACUAAAGGAGACAAACCUUCUGCGAGGAGCGUGUUUGCACAUGCGGUUGUGGGGAAAUAUAUACUGAUAUUUGGAGGAGAGACCUGGCCGGACCCAAAGGCACAUUUGGGACCAGGGACGUUGUCUGAUGAAGGGUUUGCGUUGGACACUGAGACACUGGUGUGGGAGAGGUUUGGAGGAGGAGCUGAACCGGGUCAACUCGGUUGGCCCGGUUACACGACUGCCACCGUGUAUGGAAAGAAAGGUCUCCUCAUGCAUGGGGGAAAACGUCCGACCAACAACCGAACCGAUGAGCUUUACUUCUACGCAGUUAAUUCUGCGUAAUCAAUGCUCCCACCCUCGUGGUAUGUUUGUGUGGUUAAAAUUAUAUGCACCAAUAAAGGUUUGUGAGACCUACGAAAACAGCCAAUUUAUCUACCUGUGGCUGAUUAUGGUAUCUUACUAAAUCGAAUUAUGUGUGUUUGUGGUUUGGAAAUUGCUGUCUUUGGGAUAAUAUCUUUCCUUGUCUGUAAUUCUAAUAAUAAUUAUAUGAUAGUAUGAAAUUAUCUAUAAAUUUGUUGCAUCAUUUAAUUUCCAGUAAUCGUCUUGACAUUUAUUCACUAGAACCAUAUAUAUAUAUUUAAUAAGAUGAUGACCUAUAUCUAGACCAUGAAUGAUACACCUAAUUCGUUAUAUGAGCUCUUUUCAUUUGUCAUCAUAACAUUAUAACAUAAAGACACAAAAGAGUUUGAUCUGGAAUACAUGAACCAGCCUUAUUAUGAGAGAUUGAGAGCCUUAGAGAAAUUAAAAUUUCCCUACCAACGUGUGAAUAUACAAAGUAGAGGUUUUCACAAUAAUAUUUUACUAUUUUGUCUUGUUCGAUUAUUUAUUUAAAUUAUUUGAUUCUAUUAUGAUUGAUAGUACUAUGGAAACUAUCUACAAACUUGUUGCAUCACUUAAUUUUCGCGGAAUCGUACUUGACAUUUAUUCAUUGGAACCAUCUACUUUAUUAAAACAGAAGUACAAAAUAGAAAUACCCCUUAGUUUUACCACUUAUUUACAUUAGAAUGCCAUUGAGAUAUUUAUUGAAUCUAUAUUUAAGCAUGCUUGUCUUUUCCUAAUUUAAAUCAUAGAUUUAAGCAUUUAAUGUCUUUCCAAAAUUUAAAUAAUAGAUUUCCUUUAUCAAAUCAUAACCAAAAUAAUUUUCCUAAUAUAUUUUGUAUUAACAUACUCAAUAUUUUUAAUAUUUAUAAGUAAUAAAUAAUAAAAUAAAAAAUCACACAUCAUAAUCAAUUUAUAUAACAUAUAAAUAAAAUAUAAAAUAGUUUAUUCAUAUAUUAGUAUAAUGCUUUCAUAAUAUAAGUCCAAUUAGUUAUAAAUAUUGGAUUUGUUUAUAUGAUACAUUGUGAUAUAAUAGACGAUUAAAAUCACAAAAUAUAAUUAUUCAAAGUAAUAAAUAAAAUUGUUAUGUUUAAAAAUGUUAUAUUAACAGUUAUGUAAUAUAUUUUAAUUUACAUAUAUAUAUUAUACCAUUAGUACAAAGAAAAAAAUUAAAGUGAAAGCAAAUAUUUAUACGGUCACGGGUCAAGCUCUAUAAAUAAAUAACAACAGUAAGAUUAUUUUUCUUUAACAAAUUUCUUUUAAUUGAAAUUAUAGUUUCAAAUAUGUUUAUAUAUUUUAUGUAUUUAUAAAUUGGCCUAUUUUGGUGUAUAUACAAGAAGUGGUCGGUAAUUAGGUAGAUGGUCAUAACUUUUUCAUAUUUGCAGAUUUGGUAAGAAAAUGGUGGUGUAAUGACGUUAAUAUCCUUUUCACCGGAUCAUACUAAUAAUAGCUACGAAAAUGAAAAAAAAUAGAUAAUGUUCCUCAGAUUCAUCACAAAUUUUCCAUUUCUCACAUCAAACGUAAGAAAAAAACAAGAAGAUAAAGCAAAGCAACCACAAAAAAAAAACAGUAAGGCACAUCUCUUCCUCACCAAACGCAAUGCCAAAGUAAAUCAAACAUUAAAUAGAUAUAAAAUGAGAAGAAGAAUGAAGACGAGGUUUCAGGAGCACGGCGGUGGAGCUGAGGAUUACAAUGAUGACAUCAGAGGCGAAGGCAUAGGCUUACGGAAAUACGGCGGCGGAGUAGAUCAGAGGCUUACGAACACGACGGCAGAGCAUAUGCGAGUGACAUACUUGUAUUCUUCACAUUUAUAGAGAGAUGAAUCAAAGGAUAUGUCACCUGAAAAAUAGAUAUCUAAACCCUUGGAUUUUUACCAAAAAAAAAUAGAGAAAAAUUCAGUAUCAAUUGAAAAAUUUAGAGUACAUGAUUUCAUCAGAACUUUCGUCAAUAAAGAAACAGUUCCUUAUUUAGAGAAAAUGAAUGAUCACAUCAGGAGGAAGAAGAGAGAAAGAGAAAAAUACAGAAAGAGAGAUAGCUAAAGAGACGAAGAGUUAGAUUCUGUUUCAAAAAAAAAUCUAUAACACGAAAGAUAAAGACAAAAGUAUCAGAUUUAUGUUUGUGCAUAUCUACAAGAUAGAAUAGGGUUACUAUUGACAUUAUGAAAAAUCAACAGUAACAUAUCCAUAUACCUAAUUAAAUUUGUUUUUGUGGUCAUCCACCGCAAAUUCCCUUAUAAAUUUAUUUUCUUUGUCUUUAAGGAAGUUUAGAUUUUGAAAUUGAAAAAAAAAUAUGACCGCCUGUAUAUUAUUUUAAUUACGAAAUUUAAAAUUUAUAUCAGAAUAUUUUAUUAAACUUUUAAUUUUUAUUUUUAUUAUAACUAUAAAGAUUAAUUUUCAAUAUGAAUUUAUGUUUAAUAUUCCAAAUACGUCAUUUAAUAUAAACAAAAAAAACUAAAAACAUAAAAUAAAUACCCGCCCGGUCGGGCGGGUCAACGUCUAGUAUAUAUUCAAUUAGAUGACAACAAAUGUAUAGAACAUAUAGACGAUAAAUGAUACUCCUAAUUUUUUAUAUAAGUUCCUUUAACUUUCAUUAAAUUACAACACCAUAACAUAAAGCCACAAAAGGAGUUUUAUAUGGAAUACAAUGAACCAGCGUACUGUGAAAUAAACAAAAGAAGAUUUCUGAAUAGUACUUUACUAAUUUCAUGUUUUUGAAAUAAUUUUAUAACAAUUUAUCUUAAAACAGUUACUAUAUAAAAUGACGUGAAGUAAGUUUAGCCCUAAUUUGUUUUGUACUUUUACAGAAUAUGUAAAAACUACGAAUUAGCUAUGACGACCUAAACCUACUAUAGUACUAUUUAGACCAUAAAUGAUCCACCUAAUUCACUAUCGUCAUCAAAACAUAAUAAUUGAAUGUCACAACAAAUGAUAGUAGAUUAUAGAUUAUAGAUUAAAGAUUAUUUAUAUUGCUGGAAGAGGAGAUCUAGAUAGUAAGAUAGGCCCAACAUUUGGGAUAUCAUGGACUCAAUUCCGAUUGUUUUAUUACAAAACUAAAAAAAAAAAAGAUGCCUCAGUUUUCUCGUCUUUGUUCGUUAUUAUAGUAACUCUUUUAACUGACUCAGGCUUUGAUCACAUAUUGCAACAUAAUCUUAGACAACCAGAAAGGCCAUUGAUUCUCCAUCUCCGAUUCCAUCUUCUUGAUAUCAUAAAGACUCCAUUCUGAUCUGCGUCAACCUCAUGGCAGCCAUAGUUUCUUGUAUAUCAGUAAGAUGUCUGUAGUGUUUAGAGGUGAUGGAUCUAGAUUUUUUUUACUUGGGGCAGAAAUUAAUUAGUAAAGUAUAAUCUAAGAAAUAAAUUAGUAAACAAUAGAUUUUGUUAGAAUACUGAAAGUAUAUAAAAAACAGAAAAUAAUGAUUGUGUGUUGAGUUUAAUCUAGGUAGUAUAGAAUUUUUUAAAGUGUUUUCAGCCGAUACUAGAUCUUACUAGUUGUGUCUUGGGUUUAAAUCUCGAGAUUUUAAUCUUGUACUCAUAUUUGGCUAAUACGAGAUGAUGUUGAGAAAUAAAAUUAAAGUGUGAAGUGGAACCAUUAUAUCCUAUGUUUUUAGACCCUAUAUGUCUCAGUCUUCACAUGUUGCUAUUGUUUCGUAUGGUUGACAUUUGGACGGAACCUUUAACCACAUGUCAUUACAUACUGAACCGUAGAAAAUCGAUUACAACAAAUUAUUUAUAAAAUAAUAUAUAUUUAUUUAAAACUGACCACAUAUUAUUUUAUUCUUUUAUCCAAUUAUACUUCACUUAAACCAAUUUAAUUUAAAAUAUGAAACCAUUUAACAGAAUUUGUCAACCUUUUCUUCUUUUUAACUCUUUUAUUAUUUCUCAAGGCAAAAUUAUUUUGAAAUAAACUAAAUAUAAUUGCAAAGUAUGUGAAUAUAAUAAAGCACCACAUUUUCAAAAGAAUAAACGAAGACACAAAAAACACACACAUAUAUAACUUCAAACAUGUUGAUUUUUUUUUGAAAAGUGUUUUUUUGCAGCCCACUUUUUCAGAUUUGAGGCUGAAUUGUUAUACCCAAAGGUAAACCAGAUACCAAAAAAUUUCUAUUUUUCAAAUACCAUUCUCGAAAACAGGAAGAGGUACACGCUGGUUCCAGAAUGAAUAAGAGCAUCUCCAACUUCACUUUAUUUUUUAUUUUAAAAUAGAGUUUAAAGUAAGAAAUACUCCAAUGGUAUUAUAUUUCUCACUAUAUAAUAGAAUGAAAAAUAAGUUUACUCCAAAUAUAGAGUAAUUUGUUUUUUCUUUGUUCAUCACUCUAUUUUCUACUCUAAAAUAGAGUACCAUUGGAGCAAAUUCAAACACUAUCAUAAAGUUACUCUAUUUUAGAGUAAAAAAUAGAGUAAACCAUUAGAAAUGGUCUAAGACCAUACCCGAGUAGAAUAAGGACAAUUGAAAAUAGGUGAUAAUGUGAUUCAGCCUGAUUUAAGCAUAGAAGAAAUCCUCUAAUAUUCAGAGACGAUUUGAAAAAUCCCGACAUCCGAAAUAAUGAGGAGAACCUCACCUUUUCGAAAUCUUAGUUAAUGAUUAAGAACGGUAAUCAAUUCCAAAAAAAUUCGAAAACAGAUUAAUGGAAUGUGCCGGUUUAGUGGAGGGGCUAAUAUUAUAGUAGGUUGACUUUGAAUUUUUUGUUCAAAAACAUGUUUGCAACAAAAUCUAAAUUUCUGAUUUUCGGAUUGAAUUAAUAUAUACUAUAUUAAACAGUAUAAAAUAAGCUCAAAAUUUUUAUUUCUUAAAAUGAAGUUUAGAAUGAAUGAAAACUGAAUGAGUUAAAAAUGCUCCAACACCUGUAAAAAAAGUGAGACUGGAUGGUGAACACUUCCACAUUCACAACGCUGUCACUUGAAAGGGCUCUUUCAACAAAACUUGUCAUUCAAAUAGGUUCGAUUAACUGUAACAAACUUUUUUAAAAUAUAUAUUUGUUUCAAAUAUUUUACUAUAUAAAUUAGUAGUGCUCCGAGGAACUUAUCAAACAUAUCUUAUUACUCACUAUUUCACUAAAAAUGGCAUGCAACUGCAGUUUAGCGAAUGUUCUAGGAGUAGUUUUAGUAUUCACUCUGUUCCACGACCCGAUCACCGUGGCCGGACAAAAUAUUCCGGCGGUGGCAUUGUUCACGUUCGGCGAUUCCAACUUCGACGCCGGAAAUAGAAUGUUCCUCGCAGGUACAAGAUUUCCUCAAAACUUCUGGCCUUACGGUAAAUCUCGAGAUGACCCCACUGGCAAGUUUUCGGAUGGCAGAAUCGUCCCUGACUUUAUCGGUGAGUUAAUUGUUUGAAGUAAAUAUUUUUAAACAAGCAAUUCAAAGAUAUUGCAUAGCAUAGCAUUUUAUAGAUGUGUGAAAUCUUGAAAUACAACGGACUAAGGAUCCUAGUUUAUAUUAUGCUUUUCUUAAAUAUUUGUUGAACAUGUUCCAUUUGAAAAAAAUGAAAUAAAAAUAGGGACAGAACUCUCAAACAUUAAGAAAAAAACAUAGAUUUAUUUUUGGUUUUGUUUUUAAGUAACCAUAUAUUUAUUUACUAAAAUGACAGCAAAAUUCAUGGGGAUUCCACACGAUUUACCGCCAGCGUUUGAACCUGGCGCCAAUGUCUCACGAGGAGCUAGCUUUGCUGUAGACUCUGCUAGCAUACUUGGGACUGCCAGAGACUCUGUAACUUUCCUUAAUUAUUUAUGUAUAUUUAUAAUGCACGCGAACAAAGGAAGUAACUAUUGUUAUUCAUAAUUGAUUAGUACUGUCAUCAUUUUUAUUUUUUUAGUACUGUCAUUAUUUUUUGUUAAAUAAUUAUAAGCAAAAUUCUGUAAUGUUUGUCCACAAAAAAAAAUUAUGUAAUGCAUGAUUUUAAUUCUUUUUUAUAGUUGAAUCUGAAUAACCAAGUGAGGAGAUUCAAUCAGAUGAUAUCAAAUUGGAAAGAAGAUUACAUUACGAAAUCAUUGUUUAUGAUAUCCAUUGGUAUGGAAGAUUACUAUAACUUCACGAAAAACAACCCUACCGCCGAUGGUUCUGCUCAACAAGCUUUUGUCAUUUCAGUCAUUAGCCGACUAAGAAACAAUAUCGAGGUAAGUACUUUCGAUUUUAAAGUAAUGAGAAAAUUAGUUAGAAGUAUAUUAAUGACAUUCGUUACACUAUAAUUAAUUUGAAUAUUACAGAUGCUGUAUUCGUCGGGAGCUAGUAAAUUCGUCGUAUAUACGUUACCCGCACUGGGUUGCUUUCCUAUCGUGAGACAGGAGUUUAACACUGGAAACGACUGUUACGAGAAAUUGAAUGAUUUGGCUAAACAACACAACGCUAGACUCGGACCGAUGCUGAACGAUCUAGCGAGAGCCAGAUCGGGUUUCCAGUUCACAGUUUUCGAUUUCUACAAUGUCAUUCUUCGCAGGACACAAAGAAACAUGAAUUUUCGUAAGUAUUAUGUACCGUUACAAAAUAUAUACACUAGUUAAUAUAAAGGAUUUGGAACUAGUAUUUGAUAAUAUUUGUUGUGACUGACUAGGUUACUCCUUUACGAAUGUAUCGUGCUGCGGUAUAGGGUCGCACAACGCCUUCGGUUGCGGUAGACCUAACGUGCGCUCAAAGCUAUGUGAGUAUCAAAGAUCUUAUCUUUUCUUCGAUGGACGUCACAACUCAGAGAAGGCACAGGAACAGUUCGCUCAUCUUCUCUUUGGAGCCAAUCCAAACGUUAUCCAACCCAUGAACAUUCGUGAACUUAUUACCUAUCCUGUUAAUACAAAUAUGUCUGAGUUUUGGAAAGAACCAGUAGGGAGGAAUUUGUUGUUGGUCCAUGAAUACGACGUCAAUGCUAGUGUAUCUACGUAGUUUCGAGCUUAAAAGUUAGUGUCUACAUCAGUCGCUAGCUAAGCGGUGUGUCCGUUGAAACUCUAAAUAAAAUGUUAUCCUCUGUUUUUUGUAAUAAAAUAAAAGUGCAGUGUUUAUUUUUUAUGGUUUUAUGAAAAUACACAUAUCGUCUUUAUUAAAAAUUAAAGUGAACUGUAGGAACCUAUAAAUCAUGAAAUCCAAAUUAGCAUUGUUUCGUGUUAUUAUCGAAUUUCAAAAGUGCUCGAAUUCUAAUUAUUUUUUUUGUUUUCACAAUACUCCUUCUUGAAGAAAAGAAUAAAUUGUUUUUUUUUUCAACUUUGCAACUAAGUUAAAAGAUCAGCUCUUGUUUUUUUUUUCUCUCUCUCUCAGAAUUCAGUCACAUGGCAAUGACAUCUGAGAAAUCAGAAUAAUGCGAAGGACAAACCAUCGCUUGUUUGGAUACAUACAUCUGGCAUCUGAUUUAUACAUACGACCCACUACCAUAUCCUUUAUACAAACCACAAUAAUAAUUUUAUGUCUACAAUUCAUCACAAAAUUUCAAAAAUAAUUCAUGACAGAAAUUCAUAAUAAUAUUGUUUUUUUAUCAACCAAUUGAUUAAUAAUGAGAAAAGCGUUUAUGGUCUUAGGCCCAAAUACAAAAAUAAAGAGGCUUUCGCUAAUGAGUCUGCAGACCUAUUAAUAACCCGGAAAAUGUAAAUAAAGCGACAAAAUACGAGGGUGAUGUCGGAGGAGAAACCAAAGAGUCGACGUCUGAGAGAACUCCAAAGAAGUUCGAAGGUCAUAAUAAUAUUGUUAUAUUAUGAAUUUCGUACUACUACCCACUACCAUAGUCUUUAUACUAACGAUAGUUGUUUGCACUGUUAAGAUAGUUAUAUAUUGUAACGCUCAAAACAUAUUUGUUUUAACUGUUUUAUUAUUCUGUAUAAGUUGCAGUGUCAUGCACAGAACAAAAUUUCGUUGAUUUUGAACUAUAUGUUGGGGCAUGUCCAAAACAUAUAUGUAAGAGCAUCUCCAAUGUAAAAUUCCAUUUUUUUCUUUAAAAUGGAGUAAAAGUAAAAAUAGAGUAAAAUUACUCUAACCCUAUUCCAUUUUCCACUCUAUAAUAGAAUGAUGAACAAACAAAAAAUAGAUUACUCCAUUUAUGGAGUAAACUUUGUUAUGGAGUGAGAUAUGAAGUUGGGUUGUAACAUUUUUUACUCCAUAGUCAUUUUU
rnacentral:lncRNA from 1 species